rnacentral:rRNA from 1 species
UAUGGUUAAGUGACGAAGCGUAAACGGUGGAUGCCUUGGCAGUCAGAGGCGAUGAAGGACGUGCUAAUCUGCGAAAAGCUGUGGUAAGCCGAUAAGAGGCAUUUGAACCACAGAUAUCCGAAUGGGGAAACCCAGUGCAUUCAGUGCACUAUCAGAAUGUGAAUACAUAGCAUUCUGAGGCGAACCGGGGGAACUGAAACAUCUAAGUACCCCGAGGAAAAGAAAUCAACCGAGAUUCUGGGAGUAGCGGCGAGCGAAACCGGAUUAGCCCUUAAGGUUUAGGGGAGCCAGUGGAAUGUUCUGGAAAGGACAGCGACACAGGGUGAUAGCCCCGUACACGGUGGCGAACUUAAACUGAAAACGAGUAGGACGGCCCACGUGGUAGGUUGUCUGAAGAUGGGGGGACCAUCCUCCAAGGCUAAAUACUCCUGACUGACCGAUAGUGAACCAGUACCGUGAGGGAAAGGCGAAAAGAACCCCUGUGAGGGGAGUGAAAUAGAACCUGAAACCGUUUACGUACAAGCAGUGGGAGCCCUCUUAGGGGGGUGACUGCGUACCUUUUGUAUAAUGGGUCAACGACUUAUAUUCAGUGGCAAGGUUAAGCGAUUAGUGGAGCCGUAGGGAAACCGAGUGUUAACUGCGCGAAUAGUCGCUGGAUAUAGACCCGAAACCCGGUGAUCUAGCCAUGGGCAGGUUGAAGAUUGGGUAACACCAAUUGGAGGACCGAACCGACUAAUGUUGAAAAAUUAGCGGAUGACCUGUGGCUGGGGGUGAAAGGCCAAUCAAACCGGGAGAUAGCUGGUUCUCCUCGAAAGCUAUUUAGGUAGCGCCUCGAGCGAAUACCAUUGGGGGUAGAGCACUGUUAAGGCUAGGGGGUCAUCCCGACUUACCAACCCUUUGCAAACUCCGAAUACCAAUGAGUACUACUCGGGAGACAGACGGCGGGUGCUAACGUUCGUCGUCAAAAGGGAAACAACCCAGACCGCCAGCUAAGGUCCCAAAGUGCAUGCUAAGUGGGAAACGAUGUGGAAAGGCUCAGACAGCUAGGAGGUUGGCUUAGAAGCAGCCAUCCUUUAAAGAAAGCGUAAUAGCUCACUAGUCGAGUCGGUCUGCGCGGAAGAUGUAACGGGGCUAAGCAUGCCACCGAAGCUGCGGAUAUGUGCUUUGCACAUAUGGUAGAGGAGCGUUCUGUAAGCCUGCGAAGGUGAGUUGAAAAGCUUGCUGGAGGUAUCAGAAGUGCGAAUGUUGACAUGAGUAACGAUAAGGGGGGUGAAAAGCCUCCCCGCCGAAAGACCAAGGUUUCCUGUCCAAUGUUAAUCAGGGCAGGGUGAGUCGGCCCCUAAGGCGAGGCAGAGAUGCGUAGUCGAUGGGAAACUGGUUAAUAUUCCAGUACUUCGUGUAUUGCGAAGGGGGGACGGAGAAGGUUAGGCUAGCGUGGCGUUGGUUGUCCACGUUUAAGGGUGUAGGCAGAAUGCUCAGGCAAAUCCGGGCAUUUAAUGCUGAGACCUGAUGACGAAGCUCUACGGAGCUGAAGUAGUUGAUACCCUGCUUCCAGGAAAAGCCUCUAAGCAUCAGAUAGACGAAACCGUACCCGAAACCGACACAGGUGGUUGGGUAGAGAAUACCAAGGCGCUUGAGAGAACUCGGGUGAAGGAACUAGGCAAAAUGGUACCGUAACUUCGGGAGAAGGUACGCUCUUUAGGGUGAAGGAACUUGCUUCUGGAGCUUUGAAGAGUCGCAGAUACCAGUUGGCUGCAACUGUUUAUUAAAAACAUAGCACUGUGCAAACACGAAAGUGGACGUAUACGGUGUGACGCCUGCCCGGUGCCGGAAGGUUAAUUGAUGGGGUUAGCGCAAGCGAAGCUCUUAAUCGAAGCCCCGGUAAACGGCGGCCGUAACUAUAACGGUCCUAAGGUAGCGAAAUUCCUUGUCGGGUAAGUUCCGACCUGCACGAAUGGCGUAAUGAUGGCCAAGCUGUCUCCACCCGAGACUCAGUGAAAUUGAAAUCGCUGUGAAGAUGCAGUGUACCCGCGGCUAGACGGAAAGACCCCGUGAACCUUUACUACAGCUUGACACUGAACACUGAGCCUGCAUGUGCAGGAUAGGUGGGAGGCUUAGAAAUACUGACGCCAGUUGGUAUGGAGCCACCCUUGAAAUACCACCCUUGUUGGCUUGGUGUUCUAACCUUGGUCCCUUAUCGGGAUUGGGGACAGUGUCUGGUGGGUAGUUUGACUGGGGCGGUCUCCUCCCAAAGAGUAACGGAGGAGCACGAAGGUUGGCUAAGUACGGUCGGACAUCGUACGGUUAGUGUAAAGGCAUAAGCCAGCUUGACUGCGACACAGACACGUGGAGCAGGUACGAAAGUAGGUCUUAGUGAUCCGGUGGUUCUGAAUGGAAGGGCCAUCGCUCAACGGAUAAAAGGUACUCCGGGGAUAACAGGCUGAUACCGCCCAAGAGUUCAUAUCGACGGCGGUGUUUGGCACCUCGAUGUCGGCUCAUCACAUCCUGGGGCUGAAGUCGGUCCCAAGGGUAUGGCUGUUCGCCAUUUAAAGUGGUACGCGAGCUGGGUUUAGAACGUCGUGAGACAGUUCGGUCCCUAUCUGCCGUGGGCGUUGGAGAAUUGAGAGGGGCUGCUCCUAGUACGAGAGGACCGGAGUGGACGAACCGCUGGUGUUCGGGUUGUCAUGCCAAUGGCAUUGCCCGGUAGCUACGUUCGGGACUGAUAACCGCUGAAAGCAUCUAAGCGGGAAGCAGGCCUCGAGAUGAAUUCUCACUAGACUAUUUAGGUCUCUAAAGGGCCGUCCGAGACGAGGACGUUGAUAGGCAGGGUGUGUAAGUGCUGUGAGGCAUUGAGCUAACCUGUACUAAUGACCCGUGAGGCUUAACCA